GGCUGGGCCCUGCGCGGCGGAGUCCGGUGAAUCCCGUCAGGUCCGGAAGGAAGCAGCGGCAGCCGGAUACUUCGGGCGCCGCAGGAAGCCCAGCCAUC
rnacentral:SRP_RNA from 1 species